GGGUAUAUAGCUCAGUGGUAGAGCGCAUGCUUACCAUGCAUGAGGCCCUGAGUUCAAUCCCCAGUACCUCCA
rnacentral:tRNA from 1 species